CCCUUAGAUGUUCUGGGCCGCACGCGCGCUACACUGAUGCAUUCAACGAGUGUACCUUGGCCGAGAGGCCUGGGCAAUCUUUUGAACGUGCAUCGUGAUAGGGAUAGAUUAUUGCAAUUAUUAAUCUUGAACGAGGAAUGCCUAGUAAACGCAAGUCAUCAGCUUGCAUUGAUUACGUCCCUGCCCUUUGUACACACCGCCCGUCGCUCCUACCGAUUGAAUGAUCCGAUGAAUAUCAUGGAUUGAGGAUGCAAGCAGGUUCGCCUGUCUUCAUCUUCGAGAAGUGAAGUAAAUCUUAUCAUUUAGAGGAAGGAGAAGUCGUAACA
rnacentral:rRNA from 1 species